GAUGUAGCCAAAUGGUAAGGCAGCGGUUUUUGGUACCGUGUAUUGGAGGUUCGAUUCCUUUCAUCCCCU